UAAAUAAUAGCUCAAUGGUAGAGCAAUCCAUUCAUAAUGGAUGAAUCUCAGUUUAAUUCUGAGUAAUUCAA
rnacentral:tRNA from 1 species